GUUUAGGGGCGGGCAUUACAACCGCGUGCGUUUAUGAAAGCUAAAAUGUUUGCUGUCAGAUAAUUCAGAGUUUAGGGAUUUACAGCGAACUUCAUAACUUUGGGAAAGACGGGAAGAGGAAGCAGCCAAAUACACUGCGGUCCAAGUUUAAUUGACUGUGCGCUGGAGUUCAGCGAAGUUGCGACAGCAUACGGAGACACAUUUUUCUUCUACGCACGCCAUACAGACCACCGCUUGUCUCCAGCACAGUGAGGGUGUGAGUAUAUGUGGAGGUAGCCUUAUUCUCUGAUGUGUCUCAAUAUAUGACGGGCUGUAGAUACUGCGUUUCAG
rnacentral:lncRNA from 1 species